GGGGAUGUAGCUCAGUUGGUAGAGUGCUUGGUGCAUGUCUCGCAUGCCCAAAGCCCUGGGUUCAAUCCCCAGCAACACACA
rnacentral:tRNA from 1 species